rnacentral:snRNA from 1 species
AUACUUACCUGGUGCUGGGCGACCCGGGUAGAGGCCUUCCACUGCACCUCGGUGGGCUAAAACCUGCCACUUUCCCAAACUGGGAUAGCUGGGGCAUGCAAUUUCUGGUAGUGGGGGAGCGGCGUGCGCGCCAUGCCCCU